rnacentral:pre_miRNA from 14 species
ACAUGACCUCUUGUGACCCCUUAGAGGAUGACUGAUUUCUUUUGGUGUUCAGAGUCAAUAGAAUUUUCUAGCACCAUCUGAAAUCGGUUAUAAUGAUUGGGGAAAAGCACCAUGCAGCUG